GGCACUACUGCAUAUAUGAUCAGGCAAAACUGAUAGAGAAAACCGCUACGUUAGGAAGGAAGAUUUGUUAAUAUUUUCUCUUCAACAUCAUUUUAGCAUGACUAAACAAUUGUCUUGGAAGAUUUGUUAAUACUUCGAACACUGAUUAAACGUGAGCCGCAAUCAACUUCAGGGUGAAUUGGGUGGCCAAUUUGGUGGACAACUAACUGGUCUCUCGACAUUAUACACUGUAGAAGCCCUGGAGAUGCUGUUGUUGCCCAUGGCAAAAGAUGGUACUGAGGCUCUUGGCUCAAUGGGAAAUGAUGCUCCUUUGGCUGUGAUGUCCAACAUCC